AUGGGAAUCAAAGACUUCAUAAAUCCAACCGAUGAAGAGAAGCCGAUAUAUGAGAGAAUCAGAGAAAUGACCGGAGGAGGUGCUGACUAUAGUUUUGAAUGUACAAGAAAUUUGAAUGUUCUAAGAGAUGCCUUCUUGUGUGUUCAUGAAGGUUGGGGAUUGACUGUACUAUUGGGAAUUCAUUCAUCCCCAAAGUUGCUUCCCAUCCAUCCAAUGAAGCUCUUUGUCGGUUGCAGAAAUGAAUGA